AGCAGAAAUUCGAAGAGAUAAAUAAUGCGCAUGAGAUUCUGUCAGAUGAAGAGAAGAGAGAAAUUAGUCUGCGUUCUUGUCUGAAGACCUGUAUAUGCCUAGCUAGCACGCUUGUCUGAAUGGUUUGGUGAACUGUUUGUAGCUUCUUCUUCCCAGCUUUGGGAGGCCUGCUCUACGGCUAUGACAUCGGGGCUACAUCUGGUGCUACCAUAUCGCUCAAGUCCUCGGCAUUCAGUGGUACAUCAUGGUACAACCUGUCAUCAGUGCAGACUGGCCUCGUGGUCAGCGGCUCGCUAUAUGGUGCUUUGAUCGGAUCUGCCACGGCAUUUACCAUUGCAAAAAUUUGAGGG